UCAGACGAUGCGUCAUGCAUAUCAAUAAGCGGAGGAAAAGAAACUAACUAGGAUUCCCUUAGUAACGGCGAGUGAAGCGGGAAGAGCUCAAAUUUGAAAUCUUCAAGGUUCUACCUUGACAAAUUGUAGUUUAAAGAAGUGUUUUCUGUUGAAGUUUUGGUAAAAGUUCUUUGGAAUAGGACAUCAUAGAGGGUGAGAAUCCCGUAUUUGACCAUUAUUUUCAGCUGUGUGAUACACUUUCAAAGAGUCGGAUUGUUUGGGAAUGCAGUCCAAAAUGGGUGGUAAAUUUCAUCUAAAGCUAAAUAUUGGCGAGAGACCGAUAGCGAACAAGUACCGUGAGGGAAAGAUGAAAAGAACUUUGAAAAGAGAGUUAAACAGUACGUGAAAUUGUCAAAAGGGAAGCGUUUGACACCAGUGUUGUUUUUCUCGAAAAUCAAUUAAAAAGAGUUGGAUUUAUGCAAUGUUGUAUUGACCUUAUCAGCUUGCUUCACUCUUGGUUCCUGGCUUUUUUUAAUGCACUUUUCGUUUAACAAGUCAACAUCAAUUUCCUUUGUUGUAAAAGGGUCAAUUGGAAGGUGGCUUUCAAUCUUCGGUAGAAAGUGUUUAUAGCCUUUUGAUCUCUGCAGUCGGAGAGACUGAGGUCUGCAGCGUAGAUCCUUCGGGGUUAGAUACAUUUGUGCUAAGCUACUAGCCUUUUCAUAGACAACUUGUUGACUAUGAUUAGGUCUUGUAACUUACCUCGCGUAGUGCUAUUUUACCUACGCUUAGGAUGUUGAUAUGCAUGACUGAUAU
rnacentral:rRNA from 1 species